GCCGCUGUGGCGAAAUUGGCAGACGCAGUGGACUCAAAAUCCACCGAUAGUAAUAUCGUGCCAGUCCGAAUCUGGCCAGCGGCA
rnacentral:tRNA from 1 species